UGUCGGGGUAGCUCAGUCGGUAGAGCGCCGGGCUCAUAAUCCGGAAGUCGCAGGUUCAAGUCCUGCCCCCGCAACCA
rnacentral:tRNA from 1 species